rnacentral:rRNA from 1 species
AGUGAACGCUGGCGGUAGGCCUAACACAUGCAAGUCGAACGGCAGCACAGUAAGAGCUUGCUCUUACGGGUGGCGAGUGGCGGACGGGUGAGGAAUACAUCGGAAUCUACUUUUUCGUGGGGGAUAACGUAGGGAAACUUACGCUAAUACCGCAUACGACCUACGGGUGAAAGCAGGGGAUCUUCGGACCUUGCGCGAUUGAAUGAGCCGAUGUCGGAGUAGCUAGUUGGCGGGGUAAAGGCCCACCAAGGCGACGAUCCGUAGCUGGUCUGAGAGGAUGAUCAGCCACACUGGAACUGAGACACGGUCCAGACUCCUACGGGAGGCAGCAGUGGGGAAUAUUGGACAAUGGGCGCAAGCCUGAUCCAGCCAUACCGCGUGGGUGAAGAAGGCCUUCGGGUUGUAAAGCCCUUUUGUUGGGAAAGAAAAGCAGCAGGUUAAUACCCCGCUGUCCUGACGGUACCCAAAGAAUAAGCACCGGCUAACUUCGUG